rnacentral:rRNA from 1 species
UACAGAGGGGGCAAGCGUUGUUCGGAAUUACUGGGCGUAAAGGGCGCGUAGGCGGCCAACUAAGUCGGACGUGAAAUCCCCGGGCUCAACCCGGGAACUGCGUCCGAUACUGGAUGGCUUGAAUCCGGGAGAGGGAUGUGGAAUUCCAGGUGUAGCGGUGAAAUGCGUAGAUAUCUGGAGGAACACCGGUGGCGAAGGCGACAUCCUGGACCGGCAUUGACGCUGAGGCGCGAAAGCCAGGGGAGCAAACGGG